rnacentral:lncRNA from 1 species
UCGCGAUCUUCUGGUUCGUCUACGCCGUCGCCGUCGUCUUCUCCAUCGCCUUCUCCGUUUCAAAGCUUCUUCUUCGUCGUCUUCUCCGUUCUCUCCAUCGUCUUCUCCGUUUUCUCCGUCGUCUUCUUCGUUCUUUAUCUGCAUUGUUCGACGAUUCUGUCUGUUCAUUGUAGUACUAGAGUAAGCUUCUUCUAAUUUUGAUAUUCAUUUUGAUUUUGUCUGAACUGAAUGUUGUUUUGAUUUGAGAAUUAGGUUUCAUCAUUCAUCACCAUUGAUUUUGAUUCUGGUUUUGAGAAUUAGGUUAAACUAAAUUGAAUUUUGAUUUCAUCAUUCAUCACCAUUGAUUUCACAUUGACAUAAGAAGAUUAUGUUGAAUUGAAUAAUUUAGGAAUUGAAUAAUUGCAAAAUGAAACCCUAAAUUGAUUUUGAAUCACAAUUGUUCUUCUGUACUGAAAUCUGCAGGUUCUAAGAAUUUCUUCUGCUAAGGGUAAAUUUAUGAUGUUUAGCAAAAUCAUCUUUUAUCUGUGGUUAUGUAAGCUCAUAUCUUGUGUUACUAUGUGUUAUGUAUUUCUGGAAGGUUAUAACUCCUAACUUAAACUCCUUUACGCUCCAUAUUAGUGCUGCAUAAUACAAUAAUUGAAGUUAUUAACUUUAUGAUAUCCUACAGGAUGAUUCAUACAUUGAUAGCUACAUAAGCACCAUUGGAGUUGAUUUUGUGAGUACAACAUUUCAAUUUUACUUUAGCUUGAAAUCAUUUGAGAUUGUGUUUGUGUAUCUAGUG